CAGCAACAAAUGAUCAAAUCCGUAACCCUUCUUCUCAAUUCUUCUCCAAAAUUCAAAUGAUCACAACUUCUUCGUUUCUCAACGAAAUUUAGCGAUUCUUGCGGCCACGGAACGAGGAAACGAUUAUCUACAGCUCUGUGGGUUGAAUUUGAGGUGUUUACAAGCUUCCAUGGAAGGUUUUUGAUGAUGAAUUUGGGCAUGGAACCUUCGGCCAAGAGACAAUCAUCAAGACUCGAAGGAGCGACUAUCGAUAAGGCUCGAGGAAAACGGAUCGAGAUAUUGUCAAGCUUAUUUGAAGAAUUUGGAUAGCAAGUGGGAUAGCAUGAUAUUAUUUGGAAAGUCAAGCUUCCGAAGUUUUAAUUCUCGGAAGUCAUUUGCACAAGAAGUGACAGAAGGUUUUCAUUCUAGCAGUCCGCAGUAGUCUAGAUGUUUUUGUCUAUGUAUUUGACUAGCGCAUUUUAACUCUGAUAUUUUUGUAAAAUGGGGUCACAUGUAUUUUGAUAUAUGAAAAAAAUGAUUUGAUUUGCGAAAAA